rnacentral:rRNA from 1 species
GUGAAUCAUCGAAUCUUUGAACGCACCUUGCACUCUUGGGUAUUCCCAGGAGUAUGUCUGUUUGAGUGUCGUGAAUCUCUCAAACCCCCUUUUGUUGUAAUGACGAAAGAGUCUUUGGGCUUUGGCUGUUGAUUGCUUGUCGCUUCAUUGUCGACUCGAUCUAAAAAUAAAGAGCUGAAGCUAGCAAAUGUAUUAGCAGAGACUUUCGACUUGGCGUGAUAAUUAUUUCGUUAAGAACAAAGUCUGUCGACGUUUGUCAAGCGGGCUAACAAAGCACUACUUUUUACAUUAGACCUCAAAUCAGUCAGGACUACCCGCUGAACUUAA